UGCCCGUGCAGCUCAGCCAGGCCUGAUAACAUGGACCAUCGGAUGUUGUCAGGACCUGGGAGCCAGACACACUGGCAGCAAGCGUUUUUUUUUUCUCCUUUCAAAGUCUACAAACCUUUUUUUUUUUUUAAAGGGCUGAGCCAGUUAAUUGUAGGGUGUGAGUGAAAACUAUCAGUAGUACCAUCAAGGAAAGAGACACAGGGGGAAAUCUGGAAAGAAUGUGAAUGUCGGGGGUUUUUAAGUGCAGAAAAUUGUUUCUCCUGUGUUAACCGCCAGGGGGAGAGACUGUGACUGGCUGUAUUGAACUUUCUGAUUCCAUUCCACUGAGAGGGCUGCUUUCAGACACGCUGUAUGGAUCCCGGCAGAUAGAACAUUAAGAGCUUCUUCUGCUUCUCUCACAAGUCGCAGAAUCCAAAAUGCAGACUACAGAGCCCAAUGUGAAACAGUUAAUUGCCAUCAAGAUAAAGAAACGCAGCAACAUCAAAAGCCCUGAGGGACUCUUAUAACCUAAACAGCACAAGUGCUCAGCGCCAGCUCUACAGAGGCGGACCCACUCCCAUGUCUCCCGGGGGACAGCGGCGGCAUCAUCUCAUCACUGAACUGCAAGGCCAGUGCCAGGCCUACAACCAGGGAAAACAAACCCCAAUACCGGGACCCCGUUCAAUUAGAGGAGACUUCAAUUCAUUGGAGGUGUUGAUGGAUGGGGCAGCCAGAUUUAUUCAUUUAUUUUAUUCAUCAGGGAAAGCCCUUUGAAGCAAGAGCGGGAAUAUUCAGAAUAUAAGGUUACCACUUGAAGGACUUCAUAACACACAGAUUAAGGUAUUAGCUGGCAUGGAUUUGAUCAACCUGCACCCGCAGGGAUCAGCCAAACUUCUGGCUUACUGUACAGCAUUUUACAUCAUGGGUGCUGGUCCUGCUUGUCAUGACCAACAUGAGCAUCAAUAGUGAAAUAAAUAAAAUGUUUUAAAAAAACAGAAGAUCCCAGCGCUCCGAUGUGUCUGUGGUUAGCUGAAAACCAGAGCGUUUGAAGUGGCAGGGACCUUUGGGUCUGACCCAGUGCUCUUUCUACCUGAGCUUCACUGCCUUCUCAUUCAAAAGAAGCACACCUUCACAUGUAGCCAAAAUGGAAAUAAAACAAACCAGGCGCUGCUUUCAGGUCCAUAAGAUCCUUUGAAAUAUUAUAGUAACUAAAAUGUAAUACCAGCA